CUCGUGGAUUCCGGCGAUGAGGCGAGCUCUGGCGCUGUCGUCGAGCGGGUCAGUGACUCGUUUGGCUCGUACAAAACUUCCUCUAACCACCAUUGUUGUUACAGAGAGAGCAAGGUACGCGUGCUUUAUUUUCUGUUUCUGUUUCCCAGCGGCUCACUUUCCUUGCAUUUUUCGAGUAUCCGAUUCCUUCUGGGUUUUUAAUUUAUAAGCGGAUUUAAUUUUGAAGUGGAUUGGGGAAUUGAAUUUUCUCGCGGAAUAUUCGGUUUAUUAAUCGGGGUGGGUCGCGAUCGGGUUCGGGCGAGUAUUUAUGGAUUUAGAAUUAGGGAUAUGCUUUGGAUUAUUUCUUAGCCGCUUGACACGUGUCCGGGUGCUGGAGGGCAUAUCCGACGGUUCCAGGUGGGGGUUUAUUCGAGGAAAUAUGUGGGGCCUGACACGUGGAGGGCACGUGGUUUGUUGAGGCGAUUGCGUGUGAUUUAGUGGGGUGGGUGAACCGGUUUGGGUGAGAAUGGGGGCAGAGGACGUUAAAGUGUGCUAACGUAAUGGCUUUUGAAGAAGAGAAAGGGUGACACCCUCCCGAGGUGCAUGUAUGUGGUUUUGAGUUAUUGAUUAUGGAUUUGGAAUACCUGGCGGCUCGGGCUCGAUUUGUUACGCUUUUAAACUGACUUGAGAGCAGGUUUAUUUUCGAGCGUUCGAGUCACAAACCCCAGGCAAAUCACAAAGAGUUUUGGCUCGCGUGUAGCCUUAGUCGUGAGUGGCUUGGUAUUCAAGUAGCAAGAACAAUUAAACAACUUGUUCGGAUUUCAACUUGAUAUUAAACAAAUUUCUGAGCCACCCUUGUUUAUUAGUUGUGGCUCGGCUCAAUUUAGACAGCUCGCAAGUGAGCUCGACAUAAUUUUGUGAUUAUGACUCGACUUACAAUACUAAUAUCUGUAAGAAGUGUGUGCUGGUAACCUGAGAGGUUUUGAGUUUGAAUCCAGCGCACCCCACUCCACAUAUGAACACUGAUAAUAUAGUAUUUUUCCUGUUACCUAUCUCUUAUAAUGGCAUAUUGACUAUGUAUCUUCGACCAAUAAAAAAACUUGUGAGCCAGUUAAAUUUAGAUAGCUCGCAAGUCAGCUAGAAUACAAAAACUCCAAAUCGAAUUGGAAUUUAGGUUAACGCCCACCAAAUAAACAAGCCCAGCCCGAGUUGGGAAUUGGCUUGACUUGGCCCGACUUCGGUAGCCUUUGUUAGCAAUUGGAUAGUCAAGCCAAGUUUACUAGCUGGCUCGUAUAAGGCUCGUUUGAUUACAUUGCUCGAGAACUGGCUUAACUGACUAGAUUAUGAGUCUGGGUUCAUAUUCCUUAGUUGACGAAGGGUUCAUAUUCCAUAGUUGACGAACUAAGCUAGUCGUGAGCAGCUCGACAUUAAGAAUAAUUUUUUUUUGAAUGAGACUGGAAAUUAGGUUAAAGCUCCGAAAAGAAACAAGCCGAUCCUGAGUUGGGCCUCAGAUUGACUUGGCCCAUAAGCAGCCUUAGUGUUGUUUUUCUCUCUUUGUUGAUGUUAUGCCCCGACUUGUAAGCAAACUCGAUUGCUAAGCACAUCGAGCACACUAAGGGUCUCGACUUUGGCAGGCCUUGCAAGCAAUUUCGUUAAGUUAAGUUUGCUAGCUGGCUCGAUUGUUCGAGAAAUAGCUUAAUUGACUCGAUAAGAUUACAUUGCUCAUGAACAUUCAAAGUACGGUAAACCAAAGAAUCAUUGUAGGCCGUAGCAAAACGAUAAGUAGAAUUCUUUUGAAUUAUCCAUAGAAACGAGAUAGAACCACCAAUCAGGCAGAAAAAAAACACUCUCCAAUCACUCACAAAAGCUACCAAUCCCAAAAGACCAAACUCUCUCUAUAUCCUACAAAAUCUUAUGCCUUGCCGCUCCAAGCACAGGGAAGUCGCCCAAGUCCAGGGAACCGUCCUCUGGCACUUCUGCAGCAACCUCACUAACUUUGCCGUUCACCACCCUACCACCUGAUCGGUGGUCAUCGAAUAUCCGAAGUCCGUAUCCCUUCUUAGCCGGCUUCAGAAACUCAUUGAUGUUCAUCUUCUGCAAUUAAGUGUAAUCACAAUGAUCAACAAAGCCAUUCAGCAACAACGAUGAAAUUAAACAUCCUAACAAAUCAUUCAUACCUUCACAGCCUUCUUCUGAGACUUUUCAUCUUCCUUCUUGACCAUCUUCUCAGCCUGUAGUGCCUCGACGUCCUUCUUCUUCUCGAAGAGAACCAACUCCUUGUCGAGGGUAACUUCCCUCUUCUGAUCACUGCCGCUCUUGAGAGACUCGAGGGCAGCCUUCUUUUCAGCAAGAAUCUUUGUAUAUUCCGCGAAGGUGAGAUUCUGGAAACUCGAAAGCUCAACGAUUAGACAAUGUAUCAAACGGAAACUGAUCGAUAUCGACAAAUAAAUGACGUUCCUUUCGUUACCUCCACAGCAGCCUCUGCAGGCACUUCUUCCUUCUUCUGCUCCUUCUUGUAGUCAUCUCCAGUCUUCUUAGACUUGGUCUUCUUUGGCUUCUUCUUGUUCCAAGUCCCCUGCUUCACAAACUGCUGCUCAGCCUCAGCCCCAGUACUGUCACUGUUUCAACCCCAACAUAUCAGAAUCACAUCACAAUUUAAAGCAACUUCAAUAUUCAAAAUCAGAUAAGUCCAAAGACCUUACCCUUGAGCAACUUCGCUUUUACUGUCAGAAGUAGCAGCCUCAGACCUCACAGAAACAACAUCAGAAGCAGCAGUAGCAGCCUCAGACCUCACAGAAACAACAUCAGAAGCAGCAGUAGCAGCCUCAGACCUCACAGAAACAACAUCAGAAGCAGCAGUAGCAGCCUCAGACCUCACAGAAACAACAUCAGAAGCAGCAGUAGCAGCCUCAGACCUCACAGAAACAACAUCAGAAGCAGCAGUAGCAGCCUCAGACCUCACAGAAACAACAUCAGAAGCAGCAGUAGCAGCCUCAGACCUCACAGAAACAACAUCAGAAGCAGCAGUAGCAGCCUCAGACCUCACAGAAACAACAUCAGAAGCAGCAGUAGCAGCCUCAGACCUCACAGAAACAACAUCAGAAGCAGCAGUAGCAGCCUCAGACCUCACAGAAACAACAUCAGAAGCAGCAGUAGCAGCCUCAGACCUCACAGAAACAACAUCAGAAGCAGCAGUAGCAGCCUCAGACCUCACAGAAACAACAUCAGAAGCAGCAGCAGCAGCCUUGUUGCUGCUUUGAUCAAGCCCAUCAGCCUUCUUUGGCUCACCAUUCUUGUACGGCACCAACUGAAACCCUUCGGCGUCGAGCAUCGACGCAGCUUUCUCGACCUUCGGAGAAGCUUUCUUAACGACUGGUCCUCGGGAGUUGCUCCUCCUUCCACCACCAUUGUUGUACAUCCCAUUACGAUUGCCGUUUCCGUUGUACGGCCUGUAAUUCUGAUUGUUGUUAAACUGACGCCCACCGUUCUGGUCCCCGUUUCCGUUGAAACGUUUAUCGCCAUUAUCGUUGAGCACGACGGCCGGAUUCGAUUUUUCCGACCGUUUACUGUCCCCGGUGGACGACCUUUCGCUGGCAGCCCUGCUUCCGUUGUUAUUGUUAUUGUACACAGCCUGACUUUCCCCUUGCUGAUUUCGGGUUUUUUCUGCAAAUCUUUGUCUCGCUAGAUUCCUAAAAUUAUAGUCUGAAUCCAUAAAUUCAAAAAUGGAAAAAGCAAUCAGGAACUCAAUCAAUCGACGAUAAAUCGCUACCAGAUCGGAAAAUGGAGAUCUCCGGAGACAAGAUUAAGAACGAACGUACUGAAAAAAUUGAAAUGAGAAGGGGGUAUAUAUCUAUCUUACCGCGGCGUCUUUCCCAAUCGAGUCGGUCCAGGCGUUCUUGCUUCGCUUUUUCUUCAGCGGCCUUCUUCUUCGCCGCGAGCUCCUCCCUCCGCCGUCUUCUCCUUGACGGCGACGGCGGCCUCCCUGGCGGCGGCAGUGGAGGCGAAGACGUUCUCGGCGAUCUUGGACAUGCCUUCGUCCUCUUGGCCGUCGAGCAAGGAGAAGAGACUAGCGUGCCUCGCCAUGGCUGCCUGCUGGUGGUGCGUGGGACGGCUGGUUGUAGUUAAUAAAAAGAGACGAGUACUUUCACCGGCGGCGGAGGGAGAAAAUAGCAGAAAGAAAGAAUCCCUGUGAGAGGGAGACUUUUGGGAUGAGAGGUUUAGGGUUAGUGGUGGGAUUCAAUUUAUAGGUUUUCGUUAGGGGGGGUGGUUACUUGGGAAGCAAGUCACUGGAUUUCGAGGAAGGUUUUUUUCUUUUAAUUAUUAUUUAGUUCCUAACUAAAUGCAUAUUAGAAAUUAAUUUUUAUUUCACAUUCUACUGAUCAAACAGUUCAUUAAACAGGCCUGGGCUGGUUGUGCUCUUGUGGACAUCCAAUCGGGCUUGACUUGUAAACGGGCUUCCGAUGGGCCUUCGAAUAAAACGGAUAGAAAGUUGAAUCACUAUUGUGGAAGCCCAAUUUAGUUUACCUUGAAAGUGAGGCUCAAUUCGACCACUCUAUCCUUAAAUUAAUUGCGCCGUCUAGUAAGUUCUAUUUUUAGAUGGAGGUAUUAGUGCUAGAACAAGAUUUCACGUCCGUCGAAAUGAUCGAUUCAUAAUGGUUCAAUGUGUUAGGUCAAAUCAUAUAAAAUUUUAAGGAUUAAGGUUUAAUUUAGAUUUACUAAUUUUGAAAAAUGUAAAUUUUUUUCCGAAGAUGAUUCAAUAUAUUAGACAGAUCAUAUAGAAGUUUAAGGAUUAACGUUUAAUUCAAAUUUACUAAUUUUGGAAAAUUAAUUUUCUUUUAUCAUAAAUAGUUUCAAAAAAGGAGAAUUAAGAUAGCAAAGUAAAACAAACAAGGCUGAACAUCAGUUCAUGUCGUGAGAUCGAUCUUCACACAAUCUGAGAGAUAUGAAAGGGCACGGCGGGCUAUUUUAUCGACAGCUCUGUUAGCGACACAUUUGACCACCUGCACAUGCAACCGCGAACACGAUGCUAAAAAGCAAGGAUCUUUGCAACAACGGCCCCACCAGCAACACACCGAGUAUUCCUUGAACAAUUUGAAAAGGACCAAAGUCAAUUUUCCAAACGCUAUGCCCAAAGUACCAAUCACAUACAUCACAAACGACCAGGAAUUCUAGAAUAUACGGAGAGCCCUAGAUACGUCCCCAAUCCCUUCCAAAACAACUCCAUCAACGUUACAAACAUUAUUUUAAAGCAAUUGAUAAAAAAAAUAAAAAAAAAUUAUUUGAUCGAUUUGAAAAAAUUCAAUAGUCCAAUAACAUCCAUAUAUAAGAAGUAUUUAAAUGAAUUCGAAUAAUACUGAAAACCUGAAAUGAAAGAAACUUUGAUGCUCAGCAUGUAACUAGGUUUUAGGGUUCAGGAUUUAGUACGGAGAACCUGAGAAUCUUAUAUAUAUUUGAAAAUUGAAGCAGGUCCUAACUUCAUUCACGUCAAGGUUAAUUGUAGUUAGUUUCGUCCACUACCUGCAUUGAUUCUGGAUUUUGUGUUGCAGCACAGUUCUACGAAACCUGGUCGGGAAAAUUCAGCGGAAGAUCUUAGCUGCAUUGUCGUCAGCAUUACUCCUCCUUUUGGUUGUGCAGUGCAAGUUUCAUGAAGUUUCAUGGAGAGCUGAACAUCUAUAUGCUCUGCAAUUCUGUUAAUUUGCUCUUCUUGUGAGCGUGAUUUCUUAAUGAGUUGGAGCUUUUAUUCGGUUUCAUUUUUUUUAGAGGGAAACCUCUCUUUCUAUUUUUUCGGAAUGAAUAUAUAAAAAUCGUCAAAUCGUUAUCUACUUAUCUUAUCUUUGUCUAGAGUGAGGCGGAUUAGUUAGGUAGACCGUUCGAAUCUAAAGUGGAUAUGGUAUGUGAACAAUGUUUGUCUUAAAUAAAGGAGAUUCAUUUCUUU
rnacentral:lncRNA from 1 species